GAUGAGCCUGGAAAAUAUGCUGUUGAAUUCCCCACAAGUUCAACACCAACUGGUGCUGCACCUCCACAAGAAGUGCAAACUUUUGCAGACAAUACACCUGGUUCAGAAGUCUACAAAGUGGAUUCUACUACCUAUGUAGUUGUUUUCCCAGUAACUGAUAACCCAGUAGAUGUUCCUUCAGGCACUUCAGCAU